UUUCAGCAUAAAACAUUUAUUUGUAAAAUAUAUUUGCAUAACUAGAAAAUGUGCAAGGUAAAUUAAUACUAAUUCCACAUAUACUGCAUAUAUAUAUACAUUAUAUUGCAAACAGCUACAAAGUGCUUCACAUAUACUGUAGAAUCCAGCACGUCCACCACUGAUGUACAGCCCACAUGGGUAAACGUGCAAAUUGUGCAAAAGAGCAAGCUUUAGUUAUAAACUCAAAAACUAAUGUUUGACUUCACAGCUUGGUAAAUAUUGGAGUCAAUCAGGCAGAUGGUCACAGACUUGUUUUUCAAAUGUAACUUGUGUUUCUGGUUCAGGUCACAUCUCUUAAACACUCCUCCUAAUUCAGCGCUUGUGUUCAUCACUGCGUGGCAGCAGUGACAGACUUCACUGGUUCAAGCUGUAAGUCUGGAGUCCAGGUGAUCCAUGUGUUUUCUCACCCAGUGCACGCUGGGGUCAGCACAGAUUCUCUUUCCAUUCUUUAUCUCAAACCUGAAAGAAAUGCAUUAAGAAUGAAAUUAUCAGGCUGUCUUCUAUUGACCAAACUGGGUUUAAGGCAGAGAUUUUAUUUUUUAAAAUUUUAAUUUUGCACAUUUAUCACAGAGGCGAGAUUUGUUCAACAGUAUAUAAGUGCACAUACAAUGAGAUACAUUAACGGUAUUGUUUGACUGUGCUAUUUCACCAAUAAGGAGCAAGAGAUCAGUGAUACAGAGUCUCUCUGUAUUUGUAUCUUUGCAACUUUGCUCCUAUUUGUUUGUAUUGUACUUACAGGGUUGUACAGUUGUAACAUUCACAAACAUUACUGUACUUGAACAGAAAGUUAUAGCUGCUAUAUUGGUAUGUCACCUGAUUGAAGCAGGGGAAAGACUACAUUUUUAAUCAUUAUACAUCUAUCUUCAUCUUAUACAGUACAUCCCUAGCCUAACUAAUUACUUAAAAUAAAAACAUUUCUCAUUAUCAGUCAAAACUUACACUACAGCGUUUGUGAGGCAGCAGCUGCUGGUUCUCCAGUAGGAGCUGAUUAAUUUCUUUGGGAUUUUGUGCUUUGUGAACCUGAUGCAGCAAACCUGUCCAGUGCAAGGGGCUUCAUCUGCAACAAAGUGGCAAAAAGAUAGAAGUCAACAUGCAGUAAUGGGAAGCACUCCAUGGAAGUACAGUUAAAGCAGAGAAUAGGAAACACAUCUUCACACAAAGGAAUAUGGGAGUCUGGAAGAUACACUGAUACCCUGGCUUCUUUCUAUCCUCAAGUUCCACAGAUCAAUUAAGUACAACCAACCAAAUGAUCAAGUGGAUAUAUAGGACUUCCAACAUGGCUGCCUUAUGACACAGCAGAACAGGUGAGGAGCAUCAGGAAUCGAAUUAAGGAGGAACUUCUGGGAGGCCAGAUUGUACAAGCCCAGAGUGAAUUUACCCAGAACAGCAAGGUUCACACUCUUUCUCUUGCAACAAGGAAAUGCGAUCUUUCAUGACCAAGCAAUUACAU
rnacentral:lncRNA from 1 species